rnacentral:misc_RNA from 1 species
GUGAAUCAUCAAAUCUUUGAACGCAAAUUGCACUCUCUGCGGAGAGUAUGCCUGUUUGAGGGUCAGCCUAAAAAAAAUCGACAUCGUUGCUGUUACGCGUUAUCAUUCGUCGGAAAUUGGGUCAUCUUAAACCUUUGGGUUGAAGCGGAUUAAACAUUUCUUGACGAUUCCACGAACGUUUCUAAGAUUUUAUUUUCUUAUACGUUUAAGGUAUCGAUCUUUAUUAGACGUGGUCGUUGCAUCGGAUCUC